rnacentral:rRNA from 1 species
UACGUAGGGUGCAAGCGUUAAUCGGAAUUACUGGGCGUAAAGCGUGCGCAGGCGGUUGUGCAAGACAGAUGUGAAAUCCCCGGGCUCAACCUGGGAAUGGCGCUUGUGACUGCAAGGCUAGAGUAUGUCAGAGGGGGGUAGAAUUCCACGUGUAGCAGUGAAAUGCGUAGAGAUGUGGAGGAAUACCGAUGGCGAAGGCAGCCCCCUGGGACGUCACUGACGCUCAUGCACGAAAGCGUGGGGAGCAAACAGGAUUAGAAACCCGAGUAGU